rnacentral:rRNA from 1 species
AGUGAACGCUGGCGGUAGGCCUAACACAUGCAAGUCGAACGGCAGCACAGUAAGAGCUUGCUCUUACGGGUGGCGAGUGGCGGACGGGUGAGGAAUACAUCGGAAUCUACUUUUUCGUGGGGGAUAACGUAGGGAAACUUACGCUAAUACCGCAUACGACCUACGGGUGGAAGCAGGGGAUCUUCGGACCUUGCGCGAUUGAAUGAGCCGAUGUUGGAUUAGCUAGUUGGCGGGGUAAAGGCCCACCAAGGCGACGAUCCGUAGCUGGUCUGAGAGGAUGAUCAGCCACACUGGAACUGAGACACGGUCCAGACUCCUACGGGAGGCAGCAGUGGGGAAUAUUGGACAAUGGGCGCAAGCCUGAUCCAGCCAUACCGCGUGGGUGAAGAAGGCCUUCGGGUUGUAAAGCCCUUUUGUUGGGAAAGAAAAGCAGCAGGUUAAUACCCCGCUGUUCUGACGGUACCCAAAGAAUAAGCACCGGCUAACUUCGUG